GCACCAGGAUUUUUCACCUAUGAAAAGAAAAUUAAAAUAUAUUGGUUACAAUACUAUAAAAUGCUCUCAAUGGAAAGGAUCUGCCUACACAUGUGAAAAAUGUAAAAUAUGCUUAUAAGGAAGGAAGUACAUGCUUUUCUUUGCUGUACUAUUGAGGCAGCAGAUAGUCUGACAGGGCUAUAUAGCCUACAACUUAUUUAUCCCCACUGUAUCCAUGUUGCUUGAAGGCAUAUGCUUUCAGAUGAAUUGGAGUGGAAGUUACAGAGACAGGGGUAUAUAUAUAUUGUGUUAAUGAGGCUAAUCAAGUCCACCCCGGCCCUUAUGUGGGUAUAGCUUAUGUUACACAGGGAGGUGGUUUAAUCUCACCCUUAAGAGACCUAAUUCAUGCUGACUUAAGCUGUAGCAUAGUCAUAGAUUGAGUCCUGUUUUCAAUAGUACUUAGACACUUAACAACCUAAGUCCUAUUGAUUGUCGAUGCUAUUGAGGCUCUUAAGUGACUAUGACACAUCUGAAAAUGGAACUCAGGUGCUUUUGAAAGUUUAAUCUGAAUUCUGGGAGAUUAAUAAAGUACAAAGCCCUGUAACAAGCAGUGUUUGCUUCAUCCUGUCAGGAUCCAAGCUGCUAACCAAGAAAUGCUGGAAACAGUAUACUAUAAGCUGGAACUUCUAUUUUUUUUAAUGUUACUUGAAUUGUAUAAGAAAGGCAUGUCCUCUUCAUUAAAAUGACAUAAAGGGAUGGAAUCUGAGCACACCUCUCCAUGGUUACAUCUCUGAUUCCUUGCCACAUGCUGCAGAGUUCUGUGUGGAGGCUUUCUACAGAACCACAGGGGAUAUGGGAGUGCCGACCUAGCAAUGGUUCUAUGGAUCUACUCGAUCACAAACUAACAACAGGUAUGUCUGAAAUGUAAAAAGUCCACUGGAGAUUCCACUCAAGCAUUUCUCCUACAAUGAGAGAAGGGGCUAAAAGGAAUUCUCUUCCCUCUCAUCUUAGGCCUUGUCCAUCAGAAAGGUGCAUAAAUCACCCUGCAGCCUAGACAGAGAAGUGGCUUCAAGCAAAAUGCUGAUUCCACAGCCAAGCUCAAGACAAAUGACAACAUGAACCCAAAUAAAACAGCUGGUGGGGGCACCAUGAAACACCAGAUAGUCCUGUUUGCUGUUAAAACCUCUGUGUUGCCAAGUGUAGCAAAGAUCCGAUCAACUCAGGACUCGGACUGCGAUUCCAGUCCCAGAGGCCUCCAUGUAUUACCCACCUCGUCCUUCAGUUUAGCAGCUUUGCUGUGCAGUAGCCAUGCCAAGGACUCGCAAUCUGGCAGCAGGGGGCUUCUUGCAAGC